GACGAACGCUGGCGGCAGGCUUAACACAUGCAAGUCGAACGCCCCGCAAGGGGAGUGGCAGACGGGUGAGUAACACGUGGGAACGUGCCCUAAGGUUUGGAAUAUUCCCGGGAAACUGGGAGCAAUACCAAAUGUGUCCGCAAGGAGAAAGAUUUAUCGCCUUAGGAUCGGCCCGCGUCAGAUUAGGUAGUUGGUGGGGUAAUGGCCUACCAAGCCGACGAUCUGUAGCUGGUCUGAGAGGACGACCAGCCACACUGGGACUGAGACACGGCCCAGACUCCUACGGGAGGCAGCAGUGGGGAAUCUUGGACAAUGGGCGAAAGCCUGAUCCAGCCAUGCCGCGUGGAUGAUGAAGGCCCUAGGGUUGUAAAAUCCUUUCGUUGGGGACGAUAAUGACGGUACCCAAAGAAGAAGCUCCGGCUAACUUCGUGCCAGCCGCCGCCGUAACAC
rnacentral:rRNA from 1 species